AGAGGAGUUAUGAUCCACGGGUUGAGAAAACAUUACUCUAACCAGAUCCUCUCCCGCUCAAAUACCAGACCCUCACUGUCCCUAGGUCCUGACUAGAGAUUAGAAUAGAUUGUCAUGACCCCUAGGUCAAAGUGUAUUUUAGGUGCCAUGGAAGGGCAGAAUUAGAUAUUUACUGUGUUUUGACUCUUACUUUCAGAUGCGCAUCUCUAAUCUAUUUUGAUCAAUUGUAGGGAUUGUGAAACAUAGUAUAGUGGUUUCUACAACAAUAUAUUGACCAAAGUUUUUUUUGUUUUCUUGAAUGAAUUUUACUUAACCUAGUUAGUUCUCACUGUGUGUUUGCCGUCUAUAUUUUUAAAGACGCAGAAUGAGUCAAACUCAUCCCUAGAGUCCAGGAAAGUUCCUGAGCUAAAUUAGUAACUUAAGUUCCGUCAUUACUUUCAUUUGAACACCACUCAUCAGCAUCUUCACAUUCUGGAAAGAAUACAGCCUCUGUAACAAAGUUCCUUUGUUUUCAUGGAACCAAAAUGUGCUUUAUUUAGGCCAAACAAUAAAAGCAAACGACCUAACUACUUUCUAAUGCAUGGGGGCUCCGGAGGGAGGAAACCAUAGAUAUUUAGAGGCAUAAGUGACUCAUUGUGCUAGUAUAGUUUUAUAACGCCGGCUCUGCAUGUUUGAACUACAUCUGCUACUUCAGUGUAACUGAAGUGUGUGCAAGCAUGAGAAUGCUGGGUAGAACUGUGGCCAUGCAGGAUGCAAGGCACAGCCUCAGCAGCUAACACUCCACCCCUGUGUAGAGCAAACACUGCCUCCUUCUUUACUAAUUCACCUAUGUGAUAUUUCUGUUGAACAUGUUCAGCAUAUUUCUGAUGAAGUGAAUUCUUUUUAACUUGCAGGAUGCGUUUCCAAAAUGUAGCUUGCAAAUUUUGUUUCCCCUUUG
rnacentral:lncRNA from 1 species